CAGUGCUGCAGCUAACGCAUUAAGCACUCCGCCUGGGGAGUACGACCGCAAGGUUGAAACUCAAAGGAAUUGACGGGGGCCCGCACAAGCGGUGGAGCAUGUGGUUUAAUUCGAAGCAACGCGAAGAACCUUACCAGGUCUUGACAUCCUUUGACCACUCUAGAGAUAGAGCUUCCCCUUCGGGGGCAAAGUGACAGGUGGUGCAUGGUUGUCGUCAGCUCGUGUCGUGAGAUGUUGGGUUAAGUCCCGCAACGAGCGCAACCCUUAUUGUUAGUUGCCAUCAUUCAGUUGGGCACUCUAGCAAGACUGCCGGUGACAAACCGGAGGAAGGUGGGGAUGACGUCAAAUCAUCAUGCCCCUUAUGACCUGGGCUACACACGUGCUACAAUGGGAAGUACAACGAGUUGCGAAGUCGCGAGGCUAAGCUAAUCUCUUAAAGCUUCUCUCAGUUCGGAUUGCAGGC
rnacentral:rRNA from 1 species